rnacentral:rRNA from 1 species
UUCCGGUUGAUCCUGCCGGACCUGACUGCUAUCGGAUUGAUACUAAGCCAUGCGAGUCAUUGUAGCAAUACAAGGCAGACGGCUCAGUAACGCGUAGUCAACCUACCCUAUGGACGGGAAUAACCUCGGGAAACUGAGUAUAAUGCCCGAUAGAACACUAUACCUGGAACGGUUUGUGUUUCAAAUGAUUUAUUGCCGUAGGAUGGGACUGCGGCCUAUCAGUUUGUUGGUGAGGUAAUGGCCCACCAAGACUAUUACAGGUACGGGCUCUGAGAGGAGUGGCCCGGAGAUGGGUACUGAGACACGGACCCAGGCCCUAUGGGGCGCAGCAGGCGAGAAAACUUUGCAAUGUGCGAAAGCACGACAAGGUUAAUCCGAGUGGUUUCUGCUAAAGGAACCUUUUGACAGUCCUAGAAACACUGUUGAAUAAGGGGUGGGCAAGUUCUGGUGUCAGCCGCCGCGGUAAAACCAGCACCUCAAGUGGUCAGGAUGAUUAUUGGGCCUAAAGCAUCCGUAGCCGGCUCAGUAAGUUUUCGGUUAAAUCUGUACGCUCAACGUACAGGCUGCCGGGAAUACUGCAGAGCUAGGGAGUGGGAGAGGUAGACGGUACUCGGGAGGAAGUGGUAAAAUGCUUUGAUCUUUCGAUGACCACCUGUGGCGAAGGCGGUCUACCAGAACACGUCCGACGGUGAGGGAUGAAAGCUGGGGGAGCAAACCGGAUUAGAUACCCGGGUAGUCCCAGCUGUAAACUAUGCAAACUCAGUGAUGCAUUGGCUUGUGGCCAAUGCAGUGUUGCAGGGAAGCCGUUAAGUUUGCCGCCUGGGAAGUACGUACGCAAGUAUGAAACUUAAAGGAAUUGGCGGGGGAGCACCACAAGGGGUGAAGCCUGCGGUUCAAUUGGAGUCAACGCCGGA